GUCGAGGGGUAUUGGUAGCUUGCUACCGAGAGACCGGCGCACGGGUGCGAAACGCGUAUACAAUCUGCCUUAUGCAGGGGGAUAGCCCAGAGAAAUUUGGAUUAAUACCCCAUAGUAUUAUUGGGUGGCAUCAUUUGAUAAUUAAAGAUUUAUCGGCAUAAGAUGAGUAUGCGUCCUAUUAGUUAGUUGGUGAGGUAAUGGCUCACCAAGACAUCGAUAGGUAGGGGUCCUGAGAGGGAGAUCCCCCACACUGGUACUGAGACACGGACCAGACUCCUACGGGAGGCAGCAGUGAGGAAUAUUGGUCAAUGGACGCAAGUCUGAACCAGCCAUGUCGCGUGCAGGAAGACGGCCUUAUGGGUUGUAAACUGCUUUUCUAUAGGGAGAAACCUACCUUCGUGAGGGUAGCUGACGGUAUUAUAGGAAUAAACACCGGCUAACUCCGUGCCAGCAGCCGCGGUAAUACGGAGGGUGUAAGCGUUAUCCGGAAUCAUUGGGUUUAAAGGGUCCGUAGGCGGACUAAUAAGUCAGGGGUGAAAUCCCACAGCUCAACUGUGGAACUGCCUUUGAUACUGUUAGUCUUGAGUUAUAUUGAAGUAGAUGGAAUGUGUAGUGUAGCGGUGAAAUGCAUAGAUAUUACACAGAACACCGAUUGCGAAGGCAGUCUACUAAGUAUAUACUGACGCUGAGGGACG
rnacentral:rRNA from 1 species